UACGAGGGGGGCAAGCGUUGUUCGGAAUUAUUGGGCGUAAAGCGCACGUAGGCGGCUUGCUAAGUCAGGGGUGAAAUCCUGGAGCUCAACUCCAGAACUGCCUUUGAUACUGGCGAGCUCGAGUCCGGGAGAGGUGAGUGGAACUCCGAGUGUAGAGGUGAAAUUCGUAGAUAUUCGGAAGAACACCAGUGGCGAAGGCGGCUCACUGGCCCGGUACUGACGCUGAGGUGCGAAAGCGUGGGGAGCAAACAGG
rnacentral:rRNA from 1 species